CAUCAUGAUCAAGUAACUUUCAGGAACAAACUAUAACAUUUAAACAAUAAUAACCUUACUAGAAUAUUUUGCUUCCACACCAGCAUAAACCUUGACAGCUAGGUAGCUGGAUCAGAGUCUAUAAUUCAGCAAGCCUAGUGAACUAUUACAUUGCAUGCUUUUUGAGGUAGAGAGCUAAAUAAUUACACUGCAAAACAAGAAUGAUCUACACAUUCGUUCAGCACCGGCCAUAUCACAAGGUACACAAAGUAAACAAAUUCCAUGUGUACUGGUGCCAGGGCAUUCUUAAGAGUCAUGACAUUGAUUCAGAUUCUAUGGCACAAAAGCCGUUCAAAAAGGGA
rnacentral:lncRNA from 1 species